AUCUACUAGGGGAGCCUGUGUGGCAGGCUGAGAAAAAAGCAAGAUACUUUUUGACCCUCAGGACCUGAUCUGGAUUAUACCAGCGUAGGGAAGUAGUUUA
rnacentral:ncRNA from 1 species